UACGUAGGGGGCGAGCGUUGUCCGGAAUCAUUGGGCGUAAAGAGCGUGUAGGCGGCUUGGCAAGUCGGAUGUGAAAGCCCUCGGCUUAACUGAGGAAGUGCACCCGAAACUGAGUAGCUAGAGUACUAAAGAGGGUCGCGGAAUUCCCGGUGUAGAGGUGAAAUUCGUAGAUAUCGGGAGGAACACCGGUGGCGAAGGCGGCGACCUGGGUAGAUACUGACGCUGAGGCGCGAAAGCGUGGGGAGCGAACAGG
rnacentral:rRNA from 1 species